rnacentral:rRNA from 1 species
UACGUAGGGUGCGAGCGUUGUCCGGAAUUAUUGGGCGUAAAGAGCUCGUAGGCGGUGUGUCGCGUCUGCUGUGAAAACUCGAGGCUCAACCUCGGGCUUGCAGUGGGUACGGGCACACUAGAGUGCGGUAGGGGUGACUGGAAUUCCUGGUGUAGCGGUGGAAUGCGCAGAUAUCAGGAGGAACACCGGUGGCGAAGGCGGGUCUCUGGGCAGUAACUGACGCUGGAGGAGCGAAAGCGUGGGGAGCGAACAGG